rnacentral:pre_miRNA from 1 species
AGUGGGAUAGCUGGGUCAAAUGAUGGUUCCAUUCCAAGUUUUCCAAGGAAUCUCCAUACUGCUUUCCAGAUUGGCUGAACCAAUUUGCAUUCCUACCAGCAAU